rnacentral:rRNA from 1 species
GAUGAACGCUGGCGGCGUGCCUAAUACAUGCAAGUCGAGCGAACAGACGAGGAGCUUGCUCCUCUGACGUUAGCGGCGGACGGGUGAGUAACACGUGGAUAACCUACCUAUAAGACUGGGAUAACUUCGGGAAACCGGAGCUAAUACCGGAUAAUAUAUUGAACCGCAUGGUUCAAUAGUGAAAGACGGUUUUGCUGUCCCUUAUAGAUGGAUCCGCGCCGCAUUAGCUAGUUGGUAAGGUAACGGCUUACCAAGGCAACGAUGCGUAGCCGACCUGAGAGGGUGAUCGGCCACACUGGAACUGAGACACGGUCCAGACUCCUACGGGAGGCAGCAGUAGGGAAUCUUCCGCAAUGGGCGAAAGCAUGACGGAGCAACGACGCGUGAGUGAUGAAGGUCUUCGGAUCGUAAAACUCUGUUAUUAGGGAAGAACAAAUGUGUAAGUAACUAUGCACGUCUUAACGGUACCUAAUCAGAAAGCCACGGCUAACUACGUG